rfam:Picea glauca, whole genome shotgun sequence.
GCCAGCUAACAAAUGCCGGCACUUGUCACGAUGAAGAACGUAGCGAAAUGCGAUACUUAGUGUGAAUUGCAGAAUCUUGUGAAUCAUCGAGUUUUUUAACGCAAUUUGAACCAAAAAUGAUGGUACCUAAAAAGGAGGCA